rnacentral:rRNA from 1 species
AUGUCUAGAAAGGGGAGAUUGGAGCUGGUCAAUACAGUCCUCACUGCUCUCACAACCUACCUAUUCACCAUUUUCCCUCCCCCUAAAUGGCUGCUCAGGAAGAUUGAUCGCUUCAGAAGAAGCUUCCUUUGGAGUGGGGAGGAGGACGCCCCUAGGAGCAAGUGCCUCGUCAACUGGAACAAAGUCUGCUCUCCCAAGGAUUAUGGUGGUUUAGGAAUAAAGGACCUAGAUCGAUACAGCAGAGCCCUCAGAUUACGUUGGUUGUGGUUUGAAUGGGACGAGGAACCUAGGCCAUGGAAGGGACUGCCGGUGCCCUGCGACACAACAGAUCGAAAUCUUUUUGCCGCCUGCACCAAGUUGGAACUGGGCAAUGGAGAAAGCAUCUCCUUCUGGUGCGACAUCUGGCUGCUGGACUGCCCGCUCAAGCUCUUUACACCUGAUCUCUUCAAACUAGCCUACAAAAAGAAGAUAUGUGUGAAGGAGGGACUGCAAACCAACCGAUGGAUGAGAGGGCUACACCGAAUCACCAUUGAGCUGCAAAUCGAUCAGCUAAUCACCAUCUGGACAAAAACUCAAUCCAUUUCCCUUGGUCAAAAUGCGGACAAGAUCUUCUGGACCCUCACGGCAGACUCUGUUUAUUCGGCCAAAUCAGCCUACGCCGCCCAAUUUUACGGCCGGAUCGAAAACCCCCAGUUACAAAGAUAUGGGAUGUCAAAGCGGAGGGCAAGCUCAAAUUCUUCCUUUGGUUGA